rnacentral:rRNA from 1 species
UACGGAAGGCAGCAGUGGGGAAUAUUGCACAAUGGGCGCAAGCCUGAUGCAGCCAUGCCGCGUGUGUGAAGAAGGCCUUCGGGUUGUAAAGCACUUUCAGCGAGGAGGAAGGGUUCGGUGUUAAUAGCACCGUGCAUUGACGUUACUCGCAGAAGAAGCACCGGCUAACUCCGUGCCAGCAGCCGCGGUAAUACGGAGGGUGCAAGCGUUAAUCGGAAAUUACUGGGCGUAAAGCGCACGCAGGCGGUUUGUUAAGUCAGAUGUGAAAUCCCCGAGCUUAACUUGGAACUGCAUUUGAAACUGGCAAGCUAGAGUCUGUAGAGGGGGUAGAAUUCCAGGUGUAGCGGUGAAAUGCGUAGAGAUCUGGAGGAAUACCGGUGGCGAAGGGCGGCCCCUGGGACAAAGCUGACGCUCAGGUGCGAAAGCGUGGGGAGCAAACAGGAUUAAGGAAUAC